GCCGCUGCCGCCGCCGCCGCCGCGCUCGCUGGCUGGCCCAGUGCGGGCGCCGGACUCCCGCCGCCGAAGAGAAUCAGCAGCGCCGUCGCCACCACUUCGGCCCGGGCCCGGGCCCCGGCCCCGCCCCGGGCCCCGGCCCCAGCCCCCUGCCCGGUCGGGCGAUGAAGUGUCACUACGAGGCGCUAGGGGUGCGGCGCGACGCCAGCGAAGAGGAGCUCAAGAAGGCCUAUCGGAAGCUGGCCCUGAAAUGGCACCCGGAUAAGAAUCUGGAUAAUGCCGCAGAAGCAGCUGAACAAUUUAAGUUAAUCCAAGCAGCGUACGACGUGUUGAGUGACCCUCAGGAAAGAGCAUGGUAUGAUAAUCAUAGAGAGGCUCUACUGAAAGGUGGGCUUGAUGGAGAAUAUCAAGAUGACAGCUUAGAUUUGCUUCACUAUUUCACUGUUACCUGUUACUCUGGUUAUGGAGAUGAUGAAAAGGGCUUUUAUACGGUGUAUCGUAACGUUUUUGAAAUGAUUGCAAAGGAAGAACGAGAAUCCGUGUUAGAAGAGGAUAUGGAGGAUUUCCCAACUUUUGGAGACUCUCAGAGUGACUAUGACACGGUAGUCCAUCCUUUCUACGCUUACUGGCAGAGUUUCUGCACUCAAAAGAACUUUGCUUGGAAGGAAGAAUAUGAUACACGACAAGCUUCAAACCGCUGGGAGAAGCGAGCCAUGGAAAAAGAAAACAAAAAGAUCCGAGACAAAGCAAGGAAGGAGAAGAACGAGCUUGUGCGCCAGCUGGUAGCUUUCAUCCGGAAGAGAGAUAAAAGAGUGCAGGCGCAUCGGAAACUCGUGGAGGAACAGAACGCGGAGAAGGCGCGGAAGGCCGAGGAGAUGAGGCGGCAGCAGAAGCUAAAGCAGGCCAAACUGGCUGGCCAGUACAAGGAACAGAGCUGGAUGACCACGGCCGACCUGGAGAGGGAGCUCAAGGAGAUGGAGGCGCGCUACGAGAAGGAGUUUGGAGACGGCUCAGCCGAAGAUGAGGUGGAGGGGCCUGAGCUCAGAGACGAGCACGAUGGUAGAGACAGUGAUGAGGUCGAGGAUGCUGAGCUGUACGAUGACCUUUACUGCCCAGCGUGUGACAAAUCUUUCAAGACGGAAAAGGCCAUGAGGAAUCAUGAAAAAUCAAAGAAGCAUCGGGAAAUGGUUGCCUUGUUAAAACAACAGUUGGAGGAGGAGGAAGAAAAUUUCUCAGGACCUCAAACUGAUGAAAAUCCGUUGAAUGCCAAUUCUGAAGACGAUCUAGAAGAUGCACCAAAACAAAAGCUUUCUAAAAAACAGAAGAAAAAGAAACAGAAACCAGCACAGAAUUAUGAUGAUAAUUUCAAUGAAAAUGGAACUGGAGAAGGAGUAAAGGUUGAGUCAGAAGAUACCAACUUAAAUCAAGACCAUGCCAAAGAAUUCGAAUGUAGUCCCCAAGAAAACAUCAGUGCCACUGAGACUGUUGAACGAUGUGAUGACCCUAAAAGUGAAGCUAAAAAUGCUCCUAAACCCAAAGGAAAGAAAGCCAAAGAUAUGAAGAAAUCUGUCAAAGUACCUGCUGAACAACAGGCAGUGAGUGAUGUUCUUAUCAGCUGUACAACCUGCCAUAGUGAAUUUCCAUCCCGGAAUAAACUUUUUGACCAUCUGAAGGCCACAGGUCAUGCGAGAGCACCUUCAUCAUGUUCUUUAAACAGUGUAACAAGUAGUCGAAACAAGAAAGAGAAACGUAAAAACAGAUAGAAAUUCUGUCAACACUUUUUCUUUUUGAUUGUUUCUAGAUUUUAAAACCAAAAACUGAACUGAAAUCAUCUAAACAGUUAAAAUUUCAGUGAUCUGCAAUUUCUUGCAUUGUGGAAGAUUAUUUUUUAUCUUGUAAAAACAUUUUUUCGUUUAAUAUAUAUAUUUUUAAACAUUUCAUUAAUGGUUGAAUUCUACUUUGCCAUCUGAAUUGACUUGAAUGUCUCAAAACAGACCGGCAGAUCAAGAUUGAAUGUUAGGAUGAAGAAAUGAAAAUUGAUUUCUUCUGAAGUAAAAUUGAUUCAGCUCGAUGAUGUCUGUGAAAGUUGAAGAUAUGGAUAGCCUGUGACCCUUGGCUCUGUGACCCUGGGCACAUAACUAGAGUCUCCCUUCUCAGAGUCCACAGAGCUGCCGUGUGAACUUCACCUGGGAACUCUCUCUGGAGUGCAGCUCUCAGGUUCCGCCCGGGACUUGCCGUGUGACCAUCUGUUGUUAACAAGAUUUCUCAGGGGAUUCCUACCCUCCUUGAAGCUUGAGGAGCAGUACUCAGGGACCCUUGCAUGUGUGUACAGGGCACAUUAUUGCUACAUGGACGCUCACAGCUGAAUUGUUUUAAAAUACUUAAAUGUCCAUGAACAAGACAACGGGUAAACUGAGGCCUAUUUAUAAGUGGGCAAACAAUUGAGCAGUUAAAAUGAGGGAACUUGAUCUGUAAUAUCAGUGGCUAGCUGUCGAAAAAAUGUUGGGUGAGAAUAAGCCGAUCAGAAGAUGAAACAUAUGCCAUUUAUAAAGUUUUUAAAAAUAC